rnacentral:tRNA from 1 species
GACUACGUAGCUCAGUUGGCAGAGCAUUGGGCUAGUAUUCCAAAGGUCGUAGGUUCGAAUCCCACCAUGGUAA